rnacentral:piRNA from 1 species
UGGGAGAUCCUGGAAUUUGGUAAUACUG